rnacentral:rRNA from 1 species
UACAUAGGGGGCAAGCGUUGUCCGGAUUCAUUGGGCGUAAAGAGCGUGUAGGCGGCCAGGUAGGUCGGUUGUGAAAACUGGAGGCUCAACCUUCAGAGGUCGACCGAAACCAUCUGGCUAGAGUCCGGGAGAGGAGAGUGGAAUUCCUGGUGUAGCGGUGAAAUGCGCAGAUAUCAGGAAGAACACCGGUGGCGAAGGCGGGUCUCUGGGCAGUAACUGACGCUGAGGAGCGAAAGCGUGGGGAGCGAACAGG